UUAAUUUUUUGUCAUAAAAAUAAUAUUUAAUAAAGAAAAUGACAAAAUAAAUUUUAUUAAAGUGUAAAACUAUAUUUAUAUCCUAUGAUUAAUUAAUUUAGACUUAAAAUUUAAAAUUAAAGAUGGAAUUCGGAAUAUGGAUUCAAAUUUUAAAAAUUAAAAAAUAAAUAUUAAAAAUUUCAAACUAAAAAGAGAUUAUUUUAGUAAAUUUUUUCUUUGAAAAUUAUUUUUGUAAUAAAAAACUUAAAAAUAGUUAUUUGAGAGAAUUGCUCAAUUAGAAAUAUAGAACAAAAUUUACUUCCAUUGUCCUAAUAAAAUGGUUUAUCCCAUUUUUGCUUUAAUUACAUUUUAUAUUAUCAAAAAUAAUCAAAUAAAUAGUUUUUUAAACCAAAAAAUUAAUUUUUUUCAAAAACAACCGAAUAAAUAUAUUACUUAAAUACUCUUAUUAGUUUAGUAGUAAUUGUUUUUGCGUUUUAAAACUUACUUAAGCACUUCAAAUAUUGGUCUACUGGUAGCGGAGUUCAUAUUCUAUAUUUCUACACAAAACAUAGUGGAAAUUAAAUAUUAUGGUUUGUUAGACAAUUUAUGUUUAUUAGAAUCAGUAAUAUAACUUUCACAUAUAUUCUGCAUCUGAGGAAUAUGACAUCUACUGUUGUCAGUGUUUUCUAAAUUUCUGUUGAAUGCAAUUUAUACUAUUAACAUAUUACUCAAAAAUUAUCUGAAGCCAGUAGAAUAUGCUUUCGAAUCUAUUGGCUAGUUUCUACGUAUGGCAGAAGUAGAAGUGUAGAACCGUAGAAGAUAUGAUCUACAUAGAAUCAUGACCAAAUCUCAAAAAAACUUGGAAAUGUAGUUAUAAAAUUGGCAGAAAAUAAUUGCAAUUUUUGUUUAUUUAUUUUUCUACUUUAAAUCAAUUUUCAAAAAAAAAAAACAAAAGAAUUUUGUUAUAUUUAUCUCUUUUUAGUUUUAUUUAAUAUAUUCAAAUAACUAUCAUAUAUGUAAAUACCCUAAUAUACACAUUACAAUGAUUUACAUCAUCAAGAUUAAACUAUUGAAAUAUUUGAUAAAAUGUCAUCUUGGCAUUUUCUUAAUUAGAGUAAAGAAAUUACUUAAAUAUACUAAUAUGCAUGCAUUUAAUUAGUACACUGCUAAUUAAAAUGUAAUAAGUUAAAUUCAAAUUUAGACUAUAUAGUAAUUUGAUAUUUUUGUGGAAAACCAUCUUAAAUUUUGAGCAACAUUAAAAUAUACAAUUUUUUAAAAAAGUAAAGAGAUUCAAUUUGGUGAAAAUUAAUUUAUUAUUAGCUUAUUAUUAAUAACCUAUCUUUAUUUUAUCUAAACAGAUGAUUUUAUAUUAUAGUAAGUCCAUUGUCUAUUAUUAGCGUUUAAUAACAUAUGUAAUAUAUAUAUAUAAAUAUAUAUAACUUUGAACAUUUUAGUAAAAAAUAAUAAAAUUUAAAACGGACUUGGAGGUUUUACUUCUUAAAUUUUUUUUUUAACUUUUCUAAAUAUAUAAAAUUUCAUUUAUUUGUAUUUUAAAAUUGAAGUCGGUGUUUUAUUGGGUUUUCAUUAUACUAAUGAGACAACAUCAUAUAUUAUCCCAUUAGGAUAAUGAUAUAAAAAAAAUUAUGUAUUUCCAUUUUUUCCUAAAAUUAAUGUAUCAUACAAAUUUUUUAAAGAUUUAUGAUUUAUCAUGAUUUUCGAGCAUGGUAUAUUAGACCAAUCCAACGAUUAAACUGUUAACCGGCAAGACACCAAAUUUUUGUUAUUUUUUAAUGGCGGACAUCAAAUGUUUUUCAUAAAUAAAUCAUAAUAACAUAUACUAUAAUAUAUAAGGAAUAUAUAUAUAUCAUAAUAUUAAACUAUUAAACCUCCAGGGUAUUUUAUAAUUAUUUUCACAUAUAUUGUAUCUCUCUCACGGCCUACAAUAAAUAAAAUAAAAUAAAUUUAUAUAAAUAUUCGUCAGGAUCGUCUCAAAUUAUAUUAAUGUUUUGUUCAAAAAAAUAUAUUAACUAUAUAUAUAUUUAACAGUGUAAUGAAAUAAUUUUAAAAGUCUUAUAUUUGAGAUUUUCCUUCUACUUAUAAACUAUAAAUUUAAUAAUAUAUUAAAAUUUGAAAUUUUAACCCAAAUUUAUAUAUUUAUUUUGAAAUUUUUCUUAAUAUUUUUGUAUUUUUAGACUCACACCAUGUUCGACUGCUCCGCUAACCUAUGUUAUUAGACGGCCCUGAUAUUGGUUAGUCAUUUCGUAAUUGAUCUCAUAGUAUAUCAAUUGGUAAACCAUUUCGCUGUAGUUCUAAAAAAGACAUUUCGUUGUAUAUUAACGUGUAAAUGUCUGCAUGCAUGCCGGGCAAUCAUUUAGUAAAAUAGUCCUUCCUAUCAUAUCGGUUUAGACGAUUCAUACUGAUAUUGACAUUUACCUAAAAAUAUCCAAACCACAUUUCCUCUGAUUGUUUUUUUUUUUUUUUUCAUAGCCGCCUAAAAUUAAUAUAGAAUCUUUGGGCUGCUUAGAAAUAAUGACACAUUCUUUAUUCAUUUUCUGGUAUAACUAAAAAUUUAAUUAACAUUCCUUGCAAGACUUGGUUUGGUUGGGGUUGAUCUAUAUGUGUGGUUGGCGUCAUGACCUAAUGCUCUCAAUUUUUGUCGCCUACGGCUAUUACCGUGUUCGUGUCACUAAUCUAACUUUGAAUUUUGAUUUAUUUUGUGAUGUGAAAAAGUUAUAAAUUAAGUCUGAUGCAUCCAAACUGAUAGCAAUAAGAAAAGAAACACUAUAACUAACCAUAUGUAUACACGACCAAAAGCUUUGUAUAAACUAUAUAUAGAUAUUUAUAUCUUAACGGUACUGAGCGAAUCUAAUGAAAUGUAUGCAUAAUUUAAAACACGUAAAUAUAAUUAUGUGUAAGCAAAUUACGAAAGUGAAAAGUUUAUUGGCAAUUUUUUGAGAUUUGGUGUGAAUCAAUCAUCUAUAUUUUUUUAGUUUCCCAUAUGAUAUUUAGUUAGCUAUGAUGCCUAGGUAGUUUAUGUUUUGUUCGAUUUCAUUUUAUAUAGAACACGUAAAUAUUAUGUGUAAGCAAAUUAAGUGUAACCAAGUGAUCCACUUGGUAAUUUAGUGGAAAUCUCUUAGGACUUUUUGUACCCACAUCAGUUUUAGGUUCGAUUUUUUUUGGGAACAAAAUUAUCAUCAUUUGGCCAGUCUGAAUUUGGAUUUCGGUUCAAGUGGUUACAAGGUGGAUCGUAACAGAUCGGUUCAUUACUUGACAUUAGUCGGAAGGUAUUCCAAAGUCGGGUCAUGCAAUGUGGUAGCCAAUCUACUCUAUAGCACUAAGUUUAUCCCUUCUAAAAUCGACCAAAUCAGUCGAUAGGGAGUUAUCAAAAACAAAUUACAAAAGUGUAAAAACUACUAAUUUGACAGCAAGUAAAAACAGAAUUUACGAAAUAUAAAUUAUGAUAACAUAACUAUAAAAAAAAAUUUGUAACAACAGAACUAUAAUUCAUUUGUUGAUAAAUUUCACAUAGAUUUCUUGAACAAAAAGGCAACAUUUACAUUUCAGAGACAAAUAUGUUAGUAAUUCAUUUCGUAGUUUUUCCUUCUUUCUUAAUUAGUUUCCCAUAUGAUAUUUGGUAAGCUAGAUGCCUAGGUAGUUUCUGUUUUGUUCGAUUUCAAUUUUUUCUCAAAUCAUAUGUAUUAUUGUUCUUCUCAAGACGUAACAAAACAGAAUUAGAUCGAAAUAUUGAUCAUUAAUAUACCUGUACUGCUCUUUAGAAUUCCUGUGGGCUAAACUUUUGCUAAUAAAAAGAAGUCUCAUUUUUAGACUUGUGCAAAAUAUAUUUAACUAGUACAAUAGUUUGGUUACAGGUCGGCAAAAGAAGUUUUUAUAGGCUUUGAAUGUUACGAACCAUUCCGUCCCACUCCGCACCGCAGUUAUUAGUAACAAAGAUUAUUAUAUAUAUAAUAUGUUUAUAUUUUUUUAUAACUGUGAAAACUGCACCGCAGUUGAACCGCUAGUUCUACACCGUUCAACCUGCAGUUACCAUUCGGUAUACAAUAGUCUCAUUCAAUUUUUUUAACUCAGUGGCCAAAUAACAAAGUAGUUUGAUUGUUCCAAUAUUAACAUUUAUUAAUUAGUUUUACACGGAAACAUGAAUUGGUCCACAAAAGUGACUGAAACAAUCAAAAGCCAUUGUAAACAGAAGAGAGAAGACCAUCGUAGAAAGUCCGAUCAAUUUUGUCCUUAUCUCAUCAUGUACUUAUUCAAAUUUUAGUUUAGUGGUACACAAAGAAAUAAAGAACAUCCCACAUUUUGUUCAUAAUUUCAUAUCAAACGUACCUUUUUUUUAAAUGAUAUUGAGUUUUUUGGCCCCCUCCUAUGACAUUUGUGGUUGAGCUUUAUUGUUGUUGACAAAUCUCGUGAUAUUAAUUGCUAUAUAUGGGAAAUGAUAUAUCGUAUUGUCACACUCAAUUUAAUCAUUUAUUGACUAUAGUUUAAUAUAAUUUAGGGAAUUUGCAUCCAAUAACCAAAUAAAAUUCCAAAAUUAACUAAUUAACCAAUUUUACGCUUUCUAUCUCUUCUCCUUUCUCUUUCUAUCUAUCUCCAUUUUUUCUCUACAAAAAUAAUUUUCUUUUUUUAUUAUUUCACAAAUAACCCAUAUAAUUUAAUGUUGUUGGUUUCUUAACAGUUGGCCUUCAUAUAAUCUCGAUAAUAGGAGCAUUUUAUAUUAUUUUUGUCAAGACCAUUUCAUUAGGAAACGAAGCAUCCUUAUAAAAUUAUGAAAUGUGAUUUAAAUAGACGCCCAAAAUAAAAUAAAUCAUACAAGUACAUAGCCUGGUGGUGGUUUAGAAGAUCUUCAUCGUUGAUUUUUCAAAAAUUGUAAAUAAUACAUAUUUUAAAUUCUAAAUAUUAAGACAAUUAAAAGGAUGAUUGGUUUGACUGUAGGAGCUGGCUUUAGCUUUAACAUUAAUCUAUAACAUUUAAAACAUCAAUCAUGCUUUAUCUUAUUUUUUAAAGUUAUAACAAAAUAAAAUAAAAAAUGGUUGUGGAAAUCUUAUUUUCUAAAACCGCAUCUUUUUGACCGUAGAAAAUAUAUUAUUUUAGCAAUCAAUUUUAAAGUUAUAUCACUUACAGUUAAUAAAAAAAUUUUACUGCCUAAAUUCUACGGUAAAGUUUCUACAGUUACAGUCCAAUCAAUCACUCUAUCGUGAAUAAUGUGGCCGUUAUUUUUGUAUUAAUUAAUCAUUCAAAUUCUUAAGCGUCCAACUAGUCAUUAUUAUUGUAUGUAACCCACGUCAUACUGGAGCGUUGGUCAUAAUUAAUUAAGGCAUAUUGAGUUCAAAAUUUAUCAUCACAGUAGUUUAUGCUGUCCAAAUCAUGACACUGGAAUCACAUAAUACGUACUUCUUCCUUUUUUGUUUUAUAUGAAAAAUAUAAACUAACGCGUUGUAAGUGUGAUUAGAUCUGAUCGAUGUCGUGGUCAAAAUCAAACUUAAUGGGCGGGAUUGGUGGGGAAAAGGAAAUUAUGGAGUAUUACAUUCUUCGAUUUUAGAUAGGUGGCUAUGGCGUUGAUGAUGAUAAUAUAGUAAUGAGUUAAUGACUAUAAAUCUGACCUAAUUCGAGUUUCUUUUAUAAUAAGUGUAUUUAAGAAAUGUUAAAAAAUAUAUUUCUCGUUAACAAAAAUGAUUAAUGAUAAUUGUUCUUUCGGUUCGUACGCAUUUUUAAUUUAUCAACUUCUUCGUUUUCUGACCUUUCUUUUAUUGCAAAUUUAUCAAGUUUGCUCCGUAAUCUAUCAUUUUCUAUAAAAUAUUUUCACUUUAGAUAGUGCGAUUUUUAAAUGAAAAUAAGUAACACUUUAUUAUAUAUUAAAUAUGAUAUGUCCAUUACGACUAGCUAUUUUAGAGCUUAAACAUUAGACAUUGAAUAUCAUAUUCCUGUAAAUAUAUGUAAUCAUCCAUUUUCAUUAUUUGUACCAUAUUUUUUAUAGCUUAUACUCAAAGACCAAAUAGGAUUCACCACAAGUAUCAAAUUGCAACGCAGAAAUAUUAUAAUAUUAUGAUGUCUAAGCAUCCAAUCGUUGCAAGUAUUAAAAUUGAGAAGAAAAAAAUAAUACCAGUUAUAAUAUACUAAUGAAUUUACGUAAAUCAUCCCUUCAAUCUGAUUUUAAAAUUUAUUUUUAAUUAAGGAAUCAGUAUUAGUUUUGAUAGGACAUACAUAUAAAUUAAUGUAGCUAUUAGCAACUAUGAGAUUUAAAAAGUAACAAAAUUAAUAUUUUAUCAUAAUAUAUACAUACAUAUAUAAAUACGUAUAUAUUACCCAUUUACGUAUAUUUUUUAAAUGCAAAAUAUAUUUAACAACAAAACAAAAGAGAAGAAUGGGUUACACACAAAGGAGCUUGAAUGUGCUUGUUUUGGCAACAUAAAUAGAGUAAAAGUUAAUGGAUACCCAUUAAGACAUAUUGAUUGUACAUUUGGAUAAAAAAAGUUUUUAAAUGAAAUUAUUCAUUUUAUGUUUAAAAAUUAAAGUUUAAAGGUGAAUAUUCGACCAAAAGUUAUUCUAAAUGAAACCAUUAAGAAAAAGAAGAGUGAAGUAUCCUUCUAUAAAGUUUGCAUUAUUGUACGUUUCGUUUUCUGAAAUGUUGUAUUCUAUAUAUUGUAUUGAACCAUUUGAUAGUUUUAUUUUUAUAUCGGAAACAUAGCUAAAACUAAAGAACCGUAAGAAAGUAUUAAAUGAAAAAUAGAAACAGUAAAUUAAAUUAUAGGCAAAAUAGACGAACCAAACUUAAUUACACUGUGAAUCUACAGCCGAUCUAAAUUUGAACUUAGGUCGAUUCUAAUCGUGUUAUAGAUAGGAAAAUCAAAUUUAAUUUUAAUGUAAAACCAGAUAAGAUACUCCUACUAAAGUAUCACGUUUGUGCACUUUCUCAUUAUAAAUUGGUUCACUUUUUUAUCUCACUUUUUCUUUCUUUUUGUCCCAAUGACUUCGGCAAACACGAAGGGAGGUGCAAAGAAAAGAUGCUGAUAUAUGAGAAUUUGUUCAAUUCUGCCGGCUUAAGUUUCCAGAGGAAGGCUUUGUUUCCUGCUGGCUUUAGUUUCUAGGGUUGAAUCAUGUAACUCGCUAGCUAUGUCUCUUCUCCCUGUAUUACUCUUUCUUGUUUAAUGAAAUCCUUCAGCGUGAAAAAAAAAAAGAGAAUAUAAUUGAGAUUAUCCAUUACUCUAUACCUUUGUUUAAUAAUGAACAUCUAUAAUAAAUAAAUAAACGAUAUCACUUGAAAAUCAGGUUAAAAGACAAAGUGCCUUUUGUUCUACAAGUGUAAUCCACCAGUUGUGAAUCCUUUUCUAACCUUUUUCCGAUGCUCCGCUCCAUUAAGUUUUACUAUUUAAGGCAUUUUCAUAUCUACUCCAUUUUUUCCUCUAAAAUGGAGUAAAAGUGAAUAUGCAGUAAAGAAUGCUCCAACCUAACUUCAUAUCUCACUCUAUAAUGAAAUUUACUUCAUAAAUAAAGUAAUUUAUUUUUUAUUUGUUCAUCACUCCAUUAUAGAGUGGGAAAUAGAGUAAGAUUGGAGUAAUUUUACUUCAUUUUCACUUUUACUCCAUUUUAAAAGAAAAAAAAAUGAAGUUUUACAUUGGAGAUGCUCUUAGGUCUUACUAUACUUAAUAAUUCAUAAAAUAGUAACAAAACUCAUAUUUUCUAAAAUUUUAUGUAGAUAACAUCUGGAAUAUGCAGAACCGGUCUUAGAAUUUUAUAGGCCAAAAACGAAGAAUGUGACCACUUUUUCAAGAGAAAACAGAGAAAAAAAAACAUAAAAGCUGAAUUGUGGCCAUGGCAGUUCGACCCUAUGAACUAAUGGAUGUAUUGCCAUAAGAAUUUCCACUAGACUAAAGAGAUUAUUUUGUAAAAUGUGGCCGAAAAAAGUUCAUAAAAUAAAUGGCCGCAAGCGUAUGCUUCUUCCGCUUUAUACAAGGACCGGCACUGAGAAUAUGACAUGUAAUCUAAUGUUUAUAUUAAGGUCAUCAUAAUAUUACCAUCUGAACUAUAACCUUUAAUGCACAUGCUUGAAUUAACACAUGAAAACGCAAUCUAGUAAGAACAUCGUUAUUGAGGGUUUCUCAGCCUAAUUUCUUGCCCAAAAUAUAAUUUAAAACAAUAAGAAAACCAAUAGAGAUGAACAAAGCAGGAAAAUUUCUGAAUAAAGAAAAUUUGACAAGAUGGUAUACACAUGUCCAAAUUAUAUUUGUUUAAUAUUCCAAAUAUUAAAAUUAGUAGCUAUCAUAAAAUUAGAAUAACUUAUUAAUAUAAAACUGGGAAGAAACCCUGUACAAGAUACUAAACGUUAAUCAUGUUCUAAUUUGAUCUAAAACAUUAUGUUCUAACAAAUUUGUGGAAUAAAAUGAGUACACUGUAUCUAAUUUGAAUCGGUUUCACGAUCUAAUACAUUGUAUAAAUAUAUAUUGUUAUAAAUCAUGUAACCUAAUUAUUGUGGAAUAUUACAAAUGUUGCUUACUUGCUGUUGAACGAUUAUGAAUUGGUGUUAUAUAAAAAGAAGAACGUACUCGUGAAUAUCAUAUAAAAAUAGCAUUUAUAAAAAAAUCUAGAAAUUGGUCAAUGAUUAUGCAUUUAUAGGACUUUGAUUAAAGUAUAUAUCAUUAUCAUACUACAGACAAAUUAGCCGUAGGUUCUGAUCAGUCUCCACUAAUUUUUUUUAAGCUUUGCAUGUGUUUCUAAAAGUACACAAAAUUCUUCACCUAAUAUGCCCUCCCUUCUCCAACUUAGCAAUCACCAUUUAAUUUAUUAUUACGUGAUAGAUGAACCUCUCACUUUAUUUUAAUAUAUAUACAAACUAGAAUUGGAUUUUCUUGUAUUCGUUUAUUUCAUUAAAGAGGGGGGGGAGGAGCAGUGCCGUGCGAAGAAUUUCAGGGGCCUAAGGUAAAUUUUAAAAAUAAACUUAUUUACAACUAUAAUGAAAACAAUUUUGUAAUAUGAUAUAUCGUUUUCACCAAAUACACAAAUCUAACCCUGUAAAAGAAUAAGUUUAUGUAUAUUAGUCUACUAUGUGGAAAGGGUUUUUUUAAAAAUAAGCCUAAACCAUUAGAUUAUAAAUUUAUUUUAAAUUUUGGGGCCCUAAAAAAAUUUAUAUUAAUCGGAGACCUAAGGCGAAUGCCUUUUUCAAUACACUGUAAGCACGCCUCUGGGGAGGAGGGGGUGUCACCUUAAUCUAUCUCAGUAUCUCCGUGUUUUCUUUCGUUACACGUUGCUCGGAUCAAUCCAGCCCUUAGCGUCUAUAUGUAAUGUCUCUUAAGUCUUAAGAAACACCAAACUUUUUUUUCUGUUUUUUUUUUUGUCAUUUUUAUAAUAACUCAUUUUUUGUCGUACCCUCCAGACUAAUUUACCCUUAAAUUAUACGAAUCAUAGUAAAAUUAUAUAAUAAUCGACACGUGAAGUCGUGAACUUCAAGAACCGAGUUGACCUAAUCUGCUAUAAGUUAAACCCGAGCCGCUGUGUAUCAAUCUCAUUGAACCUACUAGUAGUUGGUGCUGAAAGUAUGGACCAAUUUGUUUUUUCAACACUUUAUAUGAGUUCUUUUUUUUCCACUCUCUCGUAUUUUCCCUCUCUUUUAUAUUAAAUACGAACGUAAAUAUAUGUCAUUAUCUGUUAUACAAGCAUACAUAACCCGUAGCAUAUAAAACAAAAAAAAAAACGAAAAGCUUAACUGUAGUAGACAAAACAUACAGAAAACAAAUUAGUUGAACAUAUGGACAAAAUAUACAGAAAACAAAAACAUAAGGUGCAACUUAUCCGCGACGUGAAGGAAUCUUCUAAUAUGUUUAUACAAAUUCAUGCAUUUGACGACAAAUAUAUACUGUAUUAAAAAUUCAAUUCACACUAGUUGUAUAUCUUUAUUCUGACUAAACGUAGCUUAUAUGAGUAUCUAUUAUUCAUCUUAUCACGUUUUCUUCGAAGAAUGAACUCGGCCACGUAUGUCUCCAUCUAUCUUGUUCGUUUUGUCUAGCUUAGGAAAUCAAUAUAUAGAGAAGAAAAAAAUAAAAAGGAAUAUGAAAACGUAUAAUGGGACAAAUAAGUCUAUUCUAAAAUGAUAUUAAAAAAACUCUGAGCAAGUUUUAAGAUAGUGAUGAUGUUAGGCGUAUUUGUUUGACAAUGGAGGAAAUCGAGUAUUAGACAAACGAAGAUGUUGACAAAAAAAAAUAUAAACGAAGGUGAUCAAAAGGGACCGAAGAUGUCUUUUUCUAUAGAGUUUGGUUCACCCCAAAACUUAUAUUUUCUCAACUUUUUUUCUGUAUUACUUUAUACAAUUGUUUAUGGUUUUCAUAAAAAGUAUAAAUUAACACAUGAGAAAAAUAUAAUACAAAAAGAUCUAAAAGUUCAUAACUACUUUUUUUUUCCAUCGAAUUAAUUUUAUUGAUGGGUCAAGCCCAGAAAACCCAUUACAAAAGAGCAUAAAGCCCGACAAAACAAAUAUACUAAAGCCCAUCAAAGGCAAACCGAAACAAACCCAAUGGCCCAAGCUCAUAAACUGAACGGUGCCACAACUGUACACACGUCCAGGCAAACUCUUGCCUGCCCACGUGUUGAGGCCCUCGCCUCACGGAGACACGCGUCAGCCGAUCACCACAUCGGUACCCCAAACGCCAAGGUUAGCCGGAAAAGAUGAAGAACGGCCACUAGUUUCGCCGGAACACACCUGAACAAAACACCGUACCGUCUUCAUCACCAAACAAUUCCAACGGAGAGAUCCAUCGAGGACAGUCCCGAGAUCUCAUCCAAAUCCACCGGAAACACCAUUGACGAUUUAAAACCACACCCAAACCAAUGAAUUUCACCGUAAGGCUCAAACAAAGCGAGCCGUCGCACACACUUCGACACGUGACCAGCCAACGACACCACGACUGGAGAGUCAUCGCCGGAAGAACUCGCCGCCGAUCCACCGGACACACCGGAAACAGGACGUCGAAGAGAAGAAGCCGUCGAGAUGACUCUAGCAGUCGAAACACCACAAACGCUAAAAAAUCGAGUCAAGAGUUCUACGCUUCAAAAUUAAAGAUUUCAAUCAAAAUCAACCGCUUCCAACCAAUCGCUUUUCCUGCAUGUAGCUACAAACACCUUUAAUGAUUGAAGAAAGCCCGAAGAUGCAUCAGCCUUAACCAAGGGAGGAAGAAGCAAUCGAUUGUGGACACCGGAAGUUGAUUGGAACAAGAGAACCAAGGAAGCGAAGAAGAAACUGAAACCGGGAAAGCUCCGGAGAAAACCCGACGUCAUCACCGGAGGAGAAGGUGAGACUCGGAGCCAGAAGCCAACGACUACACCGGACCUGCUGGUGCGCCGUUGGAGCCAAAAGCCGACCAAUCGACUCUGUAGAAGACGUCGUUGUCGGAACUGGAGCCCGAUCCACGGGAAACCUAAGCUGGUGAACGGAACCGGCGAGCAAGUUUCAUCUCUCCUCUUUCUCUGUGAAAGAUGAAGAUAGAGAACAGAGAGAAGAGAGAGAGAAAACCCAAAUAUUCUAAAAGUUCAUAACUACUUUGUGUUUAGAUGAGUAAAAGGAAUAAAGUAAAUCCGAUGAUGAUUUGUCUAUGCCAGAAUAAAAAGAUUAUAACUUCUUUUUAAAUAAAUAAAUAAAAAAGAUAGAAUUGGAUCCAAUGAAAUUUUAGUCAUUUAUUCAGACAAGAUAUGAAGAUAUAGUUGAAAUUGACGUACCGUGUACCUAACCGAAAAUGCUUAAUUAAUCAAAUCAAGAUAUCUUCAUACUAAUAUAAUUAUUAUUAUAUCCGUAUAUACUAGCUUCUGAUAUUUCUCAAUUUGAAUUAAUAACUAAGAUAAAAGUGAAUGUGUAAACAAUAAAGAUGCAUUAAAAAUUGGUUAUGUACAUUAGAUUUGCAUCAGGAUAAGGUUUAGUGGCUGAAAAGUAUUAAGAAUUAAACAGAGAUAGACACGCAUGAGUCCAUGACUGUAAGAAAAAGAAAGACUUCUCUUUUCUUGUGGUCGACCUGUCCCACACCGAGAAAAAUCACUCACUUCUGACAACACCUACUUGUCCGUACUUUAAACAUUAUCGGAUGUUUCCUAUGUUCUCUUUCAACUUUUAAAUUUAUUAUAUUAUUAUUUCGGAAAAUAAUGAUAACAAAUUCUUUAAAAGCGACACGAGACAAACAAAACGGUGGUACCGAAACAAUUAUUUAUAUAAAAUUAUUAAGUGUAGUUUCACGAAAAAUGAAACAGAAAGGUUACUUCACUUUGUUGCCCAAAAAAAAAGGUUGCUUCAUUGGUCCCACUUUUGUCGUGGCCUAUUAUUGGACCCACACGUCUCGCACGUGCAGUUUUAGUAUUUUUUUUUUUUCCUUCUAUUAAUUUUAUUAAGGGUUCAAACCCAACUACAACAGAGCAUAAAAGCUCAAAAUACAAACAAGCUAAAGCCCGACAUAAAGGGCCAAACGAAACACACAGUCUAAAGUCCAAGCCCGUAAGCUGAGCGGUAUCACAAACGAAACAUGCGUGAAGCAGAAACGCUUGCCCGAUACAAACGUGCAGUUUUAGUAUACUUGCUGUAAAUAUUUUUCGUAAAAAGAAAAUUCAUGGCUGCUGUGUCUUUUCUUUUUGGUUAAUUUGAGAACUGAUUGGUGCACAGUUAUCUCAGUAUCACGACAUGUUGAGCUUAUUAAAAUCUGACAUCAGUUGUUGUAUUUUAGAAAAGUUAUAGAAAUAUUAUUUUGUGUGUUCAAAAAAAAAAAAAAAAAAAAAAAAAAAAAGAAAUAUUAUUUUGUUCGUUUGAUAAUUUUUGCUCAAAUAUAUUGUUGUAAUGAUAUUUGUAUAAGACACAAUCGAUAUGAUAAAGAUAAGAAUAUAUAUUUUGGAAAUGUUCUUCUUGUUUAGUAUUUUAACUAUUAAAAUAAAAUAUAAAUUACCGGGAAAAGUAAAAAAAAGUUAUCUGCUCUCGAAAAAAUAUAAAAAUAAUAUAUGUUCCCGGGUCUCGGAUAUGCCACGGUAGUUUGAAUUUUAAAUCAAUAAAACUGAAAUGAAAACUAUCUUUUUUUUUUCUUACAUUGCCUAUUUAAUAUAUCCUUAUAUAUGAAUUCUAUAUAGGGAAAAUUAUUUCUUAGAGCAAAAAAAUGAUAAUUAUGUCUUUUUAUACUAAUUUUUAUUUUGUGUCAUUUUUACCUAUAACGCUCUUUAAUAUUUUUGAAAAUAAAUUUAAUAAAUAAUUUUACAAACAAAAAAAAUUAGAAAAUAGUAACUUUUGAUAAAAUACCUAUAUGAACUUAGUGAUAUUUUUUUC